rnacentral:rRNA from 1 species
GACGAACGCUGGCGGCGUGCUUAACACAUGCCAGUCGAACGGAAAGGCCCCUUUGGGGGUACUCGAGUGGCGAACGGGUGAGUAACACGUGAGUAACCUGCCCUUGACUUCGGGAUAACUUCAGGAAACUGGGGCUAAUACCGGAUAGGAAUCCUUGCUGCAUGGUGGGGGUUGGAAAGCUUCGGCGGUUUUGGAUGGACUCGCGGCUUAUCAGCUUGUUGGUGGGGUAGUGGCUUACCAAGGCUUUGACGGGUAGCCGGCCUGAGAGGGCGACCGGCCACAUUGGGACUGAGAUACGGCCCAGACUCCUACGGGAGGCAGCAGUGGGGAAUAUUGCACAAUGGGCGGAAGCCUGAUGCAGCAACGCCGCGUGCGGGAUGACGGCCUUCGGGUUGUAAACCGCUUUCAGCAGGGGCGAAGCUUGUGGUGACGGUACCUGCAGAAGAAGCACCGGCUAACUACG